UUUUAAGUCUUACCUUGUGCCUUGUUCUCAGUAAACUUAUCUUGUCAUCUUAAUUCCUCAGCCUUAGACCUUGCUACCUUGGAUCACCACAGCACCUUGGAUAAAGACUGUCCCUCAUGCCAAGUCGACUGCCUGCCUGCUCGCCCUGCCUGCAAACAAACUCAUUCCACCUCCACCAGCAACCAUCACCUGGCUUACUCCUCCACCGUCAGUCUUCCUCUGGAAUACAGAAGAUCUUCCCGGACCUGGACUAAGCCACUAACAUUUAUUAUAAAUAAACAUUGUUUGCAUCUC